UGCAGUUCCACUUCAUUGGAUAUUUAUUCAACUUCCCUCAUCAUUGUCUGAAAGUAUUUUUCUACAGGCAAGAAGGAAUAAUGGUUGUUUCAAACCAGAGAGAGAGCAAACAAUAUCUCCCCUGGAAUCAUUGGCACCAGUCCUGUCUGUAGAGAAUACAGCUUGGCCCUUCCUUCCUCAGUAUCUUCUAGACUUGAAGACUGAUUUUCUCUUCUUUGUUUUAGCAGCUUUCUGGCCUCAAUCCUUUAUCUGCUUAACUCUGUAUUUGUUGAAUGAAUGAACAAGUGCACAUACUACCAGCUCAGUCCAGUCUCCCAAAUCUGCCCAUAAAGUGAAUCAAGGGGCAUUAUUUUUAGCCACGUAAGAAAAAUGUUUUAAUAAAAUAUUUCUAGACAAUCAAAUUUAAAG